AUCCUCUAACGAAGAAGGUCUGGAAAGCAGCAACUACCACCGAUGUCCUAUUUCCGGCUCGGAGUUCGUUCACGUAGGCUGCUUCAAAAGUUCUCGCCCCGGAAAUAAUUGUGAUACGACCACAUGCAGGUGUCGCUUGGAACUGUGGAUCAAUUUUUGGAUCUCUCCACGUUCGUGCUAUAAUGAGG